UACGAAGGGUGCAAGCGUUACUCGGAAUUACUGGGCGUAAAGCGUGCGUAGGCGGUUUGUUAAGUCCGCUGUGAAAGUCGAGGGCUCAACCCUCGAAUGCCGGUGGAUACUGUCGGGCUAGAGUGCGGAAGAGGCGAGUGGAAUUCCUGGUGUAGCGGUGAAAUGCGCAGAUAUCAGGAGGAACACCUAUUGCGAAGGCAGCUCGCUGGGACGUUACUGACGCUGAGACGCGAAAGCGUGGGGAGCAAACAGG
rnacentral:rRNA from 1 species